rnacentral:rRNA from 1 species
UACGUAGGGGGCGAGCGUUGUCCGGAAUCAUUGGGCGUAAAGGGCUCGUAGGCGGCCAACUAAGUCGGAUGUGAAAUCCCCAGGCUCAACUUGGGAACUGCAUCCGAUACUGGAUGGCUUGAAUUCGGGAGAGGGAUGCAGAAUUCCAGGUGUAGCGGUGAAAUGCGUAGAUAUCUGGAGGAAUACCGGUGGCGAAGGCGGCAUCCUGGACCGACAUUGACGCUGAGGAGCGAAAGCUAGGGGAGCAAACGGG